rnacentral:rRNA from 1 species
GACGAACGCUGGCGGCGUGCCUAAUACAUGCAAGUCGAGCGAAGUUUUUCAGGUGCUUGCACCGGAAAAACUUAGCGGCGAACGGGUGAGUAACACGUAAAGAACCUGCCUCAUAGACUGGGACAACUAUUGGAAACGAUAGCUAAUACCGGAUAACAGCAUUAACUGCAUGGUUGAUGUUUAAAAGUUGGUUUUGCUAACACUAUGAGAUGGCUUUGCGGUGCAUUAGCUAGUUGGUGGGGUAAAGGCCUACCAAGGCGACGAUGCAUAGCCGACCUGAGAGGGUGAUCGGCCACACUGGGACUGAGACACGGCCCAGACUCCUACGGGAGGCAGCAGUAGGGAAUCUUCCGCAAUGGGCGAAAGCCUGACGGAGCAACGCCGCGUGAGUGAAGAAGGAUUUCGGUUCGUAAAGCUCUGUUGUUAGGGAAGAAUGAUUGUGUAGUAACUAUACACAGUAGAGACGGUACCUAACCAGAAAGCCACGGCUAACUACGUG